rnacentral:tRNA from 1 species
GCCCGGGUGGUGUAGUCCGGUCCAUCAUACAGGACUGUCACUCCUGUGACUCGGGUCCGAAUCCCGGCCCGGGCGCCA